rnacentral:rRNA from 1 species
AGAGUUUGAUCAUGGCUCAGAUUGAACGCUGGCGGCAGGCCUAACACAUGCAAGUCGAGCGGUAGCACAGAGAGCUUGCUCUCGGGUGACGAGCGGCGGACGGGUGAGUAAUGUCUGGGAAACUGCCUGAUGGAGGGGGAUAACUACUGGAAACGGUAGCUAAUACCGCAUAACGUCGCAAGACCAAAGUGGGGGACCUUCGGGCCUCAUGCCAUCAGAUGUGCCCAGAUGGGAUUAGCUAGUAGGUGGGGUAACGGCUCACCUAGGCGACGAUCCCUAGCUGGUCUGAGAGGAUGACCAGCCACACUGGAACUGAGACACGGUCCAGACUCCUACGGGAGGCAGCAGUGGGGAAUAUUGCACAAUGGGCGCAAGCCUGAUGCAGCCAUGCCGCGUGUGUGAAGAAGGCCUUCGGGUUGUAAAGCACUUUCAGCGGGGAGGAAGGCGUUAAGGUUAAUAACCUUGGCGAUUGACGUUACCCGCAGAAGAAGCACCGGCUAACUCCGUGCCAGCAGCCGCGGUAAUACGGAGGGUGCAAGCGUUAAUCGGAAUUACUGGGCGUAAAGCGCACGCAGGCGGUCUGUCAAGUCGGAUGUGAAAUCCCGGGCUCAACCUGGGAACUGCAUUCGAAACUGGCAGGCUAGAGUCUUGUAGAGGGGGUAGAAUUCCAGGUGUAGCGGUGAAAUGCGUAGAGAUCUGGAGGAAUACCGGUGGCGAAGGCGGCCCCCUGGACAAAGACUGACGCUCAGGUGCGAAAGCGUGGGGAGCAAACAGGAUUAGAUACCCUGGUAGUCCACGCCGUAAACGAUGUCGAUUUGGAGGUUGUGCCCUUGAGGCGUGGCUUCCGGAGCUAACGCGUUAAAUCGACCGCCUGGGGAGUACGGCCGCAAGGUUAAAACUCAAAUGAAUUGACGGGGGCCCGCACAAGCGGUGGAGCAUGUGGUUUAAUUCGAUGCAACGCGAAGAACCUUACCUGGUCUUGACAUCCACAGAACUUUCCAGAGAUGGAUUGGUGCCUUCGGGAACUGUGAGACAGGUGCUGCAUGGCUGUCGUCAGCUCGUGUUGUGAAAUGUUGGGUUAAGUCCCGCAACGAGCGCAACCCUUAUCCUUUGUUGCCAGCGGUCCGGCCGGGAACUCAAAGGAGACUGCCAGUGAUAAACUGGAGGAAGGUGGGGAUGACGUCAAGUCAUCAUGGCCCUUACGACCAGGGCUACACACGUGCUACAAUGGCAUAUACAAAGAGAAGCGACCUCGCGAGAGCAAGCGGACCUCAUAAAGUAUGUCGUAGUCCGGAUUGGAGUCUGCAACUCGACUCCAUGAAGUCGGAAUCGCUAGUAAUCGUAGAUCAGAAUGCUACGGUGAAUACGUUCCCGGGCCUUGUACACACCGCCCGUCACACCAUGGGAGUGGGUUGCAAAAGAAGUAGGUAGCUUAACCUUCGGGAGGGCGCUUACCACUUUGUGAUUCAUGACUGGGGUGAAGUCGUAACAAGGUAACCGUAGGGGAACCUGCGGUUGGAUCACCU